AGAGUUUGAUCCUGGCUCAGGACGAACGCUGGCGGCGUGCCUAAUACAUGCAAGUCAACGAGAAAGUCAGCUUCGGCUGGCGAGUAAAGUGGCGAACGGGUGAGUAACGCGUAGGCAACUUUCCUCCAAGUUUAGUAUAACCUUUCUAACGAAGGGCUAAUACUGAAUAAAAUAAUAUUUCCGCAUGGAGAUAUUAUCAAAGAAGGGGCUUCAAAAGAACCUUUCGCUGGGAGAUAGGCCUGCGUUCCAUUAGUUAGUUGGUGAGGUAACUGCUCACCAAGACUGUGAUGGAUAGCCGACUUUAGAGGGUGAACGGCCACACUGGGACUGAGAUACGGCCCAGACUCCUACGGGAGGCAGCAGUAGGGAAUAUUGCGCAAUGGCCUAACGGCUGACGCAGCAACGCCGCGUGAAUGAUGAAGCUCUAAGGAGUGUAAAAGUCUGUUGGGAGGGAAGAAUAAUUUAGAUGUGAAUAAUAUCUAAAUUUGACUGUACCUCCAAAGAAAGCUCCGGCUAACUCCGUGCCAGCAGCCGCGGUAAUACGGGGGGAGCAAGCGUUGUCCGGAUUUACUGGGCGUAAAGGGCGUGUAGGCGGAUUUGUAAGUCAGAAGUGAAAUUUGGCGGCUUAACCGUCAAGCUGCUUCUGAUACUGCAAAUCUUGAGUGAGAUAGAGGAAAGUGGAAUUCCUGGUGUAGCGGUGAAAUGUGUAGAUAUCAGGAAGAACACCGGUGGCGAAGGCGGCUUUCUAGGUCUUUACUGACGCUGAGGCGCGAAAGCGUGGGGAGCAAACAGGAUUAGAUACCCUGGUAGUCC
rnacentral:rRNA from 1 species